rnacentral:rRNA from 1 species
CGAGAAAAUUUCCGAUCUAUUUAUCUUCAAUCAUGGCAGUACAACGAAUACCAGAAAUAAUAAAAAUUACAUCCAGAUCCAUAGACCACCUAGCAGCGACUACCAGCACUGAAGCGAGCCGAAGGCGCGUCGCCGUCAUCGCCCCUCCAUCGCCGGAGUCGGGCACAGCUUGUUGUAGUAGACAGUCAGGAAGUCGUCGUGUUAAGGCCUCGUAGGACCAGCGCAACAGAACAGCAACCGCCGCAGAUGAAGAAUGACGUAGAUCAGAAAGAUCCAAUCUGAAGACACGCAAACAUAGACGAACAACGACGAGAUCCGAGCAAAUCCACCAAAGAUAGAUCCACCGGAGACACACCUUCACACAGCCACCAACGAUGCUAGACGCGCCGCCGGAACGGGGACUAGGCGGGGAGACCUUUAUUCCAUCUUCAGGGAGCCGCCGCCGUCUCGUCCUCUUGAGCAAGACACAAACCCUAGCAAAAUUGAAAGAAACGACUAAAAACGGAGCCCUCCCGCCGGCCCUUGCCGAGAUCCACCACGCCCCCAUGGCCCUAGGGCCACCGGAGAGGAGGCGGACCUGCGGCGGUGGCGGCGGGAGGCAGAAACCCUAACUUUUUUGUGGAGGAAGGAGGCAGCGGCUAGUGUAUCUGGUGGUGGCCUCGGGGGGUCCCUUGUGUCGUCUUCUUCCCACAUCGCAUGCAAGAGAAAAAAAGGAGAAAUCC